CCUACGGGUGGCAGCAGUGAGGAAUAUUGGUCAAUGGGCGCGAGCCUGAACCAGCCAAGCCGCGUGAAGGAUGACUGCCCUACGGGUUGUAAACUUCUUUUGUCAAGGAAUAAAGUGAGGCACGUGUGCCUUUUUGUAUGUACUUUAUGAAUAAGGAUCGGCUAACUCCGUGCCAGCAGCCGCGGUAAUACGGAGGAUCCGAGCGUUAUCCGGAUUUAUUGGGUUUAAAGGGUGCGUAGGGGGGUUGUUAAGUCAGUUGUGAAAGUGUGCGGCUCAACCGUAGAAGUGCAAUUGAUACUGGCAGCCUUGAGUGCAGUGGAGGUAGGCGGAAUGCGUGGUGUAGCGGUGAAAUGCUUAGAUAUCACGAAGAACACCGAUUGCGAAGGCAGCCUACUAAGCUGCCACUGACAUUGAGGCACGAAAGUGUGGGUAUCAAACAGGAUUAGAUACCCGAGUAGUC
rnacentral:rRNA from 1 species